AGGGUUCGAUUCUGGCUCAGGACGAACGCUGGCGGCGCGCCUAACACAUGCAAGUCGAACGAGAGAGAGGAAGCUUGCUUCCUCAAUCGAGUGGCGAACGGGUGAGUAACGCGUGAGGAACCUGCCUCAAAGAGGGGGACAACAGUUGGAAACGACUGCUAAUACCGCAUAAGCCCACAGCUCGGCAUCGAGCAGAGGGAAAAGGAGCAAUCCGCUUUGAGAUGGCCUCGCGUCCGAUUAGCUAGUUGGUGAGGUAACGGCCCACCAAGGCGACGAUCGGUAGCCGGACUGAGAGGUUGAACGGCCACAUUGGGACUGAGACACGGCCCAG
rnacentral:rRNA from 1 species